UCAGGAGGGAGCAAACGUUGCUCGGAAUCAUUGGGCGUAAAGCGCACGUAGGCGGCCCGGUAAGUCGGAUGUGAAAGCCCUCGGCUCAACUGAGGAAGUGCAUUCGAAACUGCUGGACUUGAGUACGGGAGAGGGAUGCGGAAUUCCCGGUGUAGAAGUGAAAUUCGUAGAUAUCGGGAGGAACACCAGUGGCGAAGGCGGCAUCCUGGAACGAUACUGACGCUGAGGUGCGAAAGCGUGGGGAGCAAACAGG
rnacentral:rRNA from 1 species